UACGUAGGGUGCGAGCGUUGUCCGGAAUUAUUGGGCGUAAAGAGCUUGUAGGCGGUUUGUCGCGUCUGCUGUGAAAAUCCGGGGCUCAACCCCGGACUUGCAGUGGGUACGGGCAGACUAGAGUGUGGUAGGGGAGACUGGAAUUCUCGGUGAUAGCAGUGUAAAUGCGUAGAUAUCGAGAGGAACACCAGUGGCGAAGGCGAGUCUCUGGACGACUCCUGACAGCUGAGG
rnacentral:rRNA from 1 species